rnacentral:rRNA from 1 species
CCUACGGGUGGCUGCAGUGGGGAAUUUUGGACAAUGGGGGCAACCCUGAUCCAGCAAUGCCGCGUGAGUGAAGAAGGCCUUCGGGUUGUAAAGCUCUUUUGUCAGGGAAGAAAAGGCUGUGGCUAAUAUCCAUAGCUGCUGACGGUACCUGAAGAAUAAGCACCGGCUAACUACGUGCCAGCAGCCGCGGUAAUACGUAGGGUGCAAGCGUUAAUCGGAAUUACUGGGCGUAAAGCGUGCGCAGGCGGUUUCGUAAGUCUGUCGUGAAAUCCCCGGGCUUAACCUGGGAAUGGCGAUGGAGACUGCGAGGCUAGAGUUUGGCAGAGGGGGGUAGAAUUCCACGUGUAGCAGUGAAAUGCGUAGAGAUGUGGAGGAACACCGAUGGCGAAGGCAGCCCCCUGGGUCAAAACUGACGCGCAUGCACGAAAGCGUGGGGAGCAAACAGGAUUAGAUACCCCGGUAGUC